GAUGAACGCUGGCGGCGUGCCUAAUACAUGCAAGUCGAGCGAACAGACGAGGAGCUUGCUCCUCUGACGUUAGCGGCGGACGGGUGAGUAACACGUGGAUAACCUACCUAUAAGACUGGGAUAACUUCGGGAAACCGGAGCUAAUACCGGAUAAUAUAUUGAACCGCAUGGUUCAAUAGUGAAAGACGGUUUUGCUGUCACUUAUAGAUGGAUCCGCGCCGCAUUAGCUAGUUGGUAAGGUAACGGCUUACCAAGGCAACGAUGCGUAGCCGACCUGAGAGGGUGAUCGGCCACACUGGAAAUGAGACACGGUCCAGACUCCUACGGGAGGCAGCAGUAGGGAAUCUUCCGCAAUGGGGGAAAGCUUGACGGAGCAACCCCGCGUGAGUGAUGAAGGUCUUCGGAUCGUAAAACUCUGUUAUUAGGGAAGAACAAAUGUGUAAGUAACUAUGCACGUCUUGACGGUACCUAAUCAGAAAGCCACGGCUAACUACGUG
rnacentral:rRNA from 1 species